UACGUAGGGUCCGAGCGUUGUCCGGAAUUAUUGGGCGUAAAGGGCUCGUAGGCGGUUUGUCGCGUCGGGAGUGAAAACACCGGGCUUAACUCGGUGCUUGCUUUCGAUACGGGCAGACUGGAGGUAUGCAGGGGAGAACGGAAUUCCUGGUGUAGCGGUGAAAUGCGCAGAUAUCAGGAGGAACACCGGUGGCGAAGGCGGUUCUCUGGGCAUUACCUGACGCUG
rnacentral:rRNA from 1 species